CACGUAGGGUGCGAGCGUUGUCCGGAAUUAUUGGGCGUAAAGAGCUCGUAGGCGGUGUGUCGCGUCGGCCGUGAAAACCUGCAGCUUAACUGUGGGCUUGCGGUCGAUACGGGCAUCACUGGAGUUCGGCAGGGGAGACUGGAAUUCCUGGUGUAGCGGUGAAAUGCGCAGAUAUCAGGAGGAACACCGGUGGCGAAGGCGGGUCUCUGGGCAACAACAUGACG
rnacentral:rRNA from 1 species